UACGGAGGGUGCUAGCGUUGUUCGGAAUCACUGGGCGUAAAGCGCGUGUAGGCGGCCCACUAAGUCUGAUGUGAAAGCCCGGGGCUCACCCCCGGAAGUGCAUUGGAAACUGGUGGACUCGAGUCCCGGAGAGGAGGGUGGAAUUCCUGGUGUAGCGGUGAAAUGCGUAGAUAUCAGGAGGAACACCGGUGGCGAAGGCGGCCCUCUGGGCGGUGACUGACGCUGAGACGCGAAAGCGUGGGGAGCAAACAGG
rnacentral:rRNA from 1 species